rnacentral:rRNA from 1 species
UACGUAGGCAGCGAGCGUUGUUCGGAGUUACUGGGCGUAAAGAGUGCGUAGGCGGUUUUCUAAGUUCGGUGUGAAAUCUCCCGGCUUAACUGGGAGGGUGCGCCGAAGACUGGAAGGCUUGAGUAUGGGAGAGGUAAGCGGAAUUCCUGGUGUAGCGGUGAAAUGCGUAGAUAUCAGGAGGAACACCUGCGGUGUAGACGGCUUACUGGACCAUCACUGGCGCUGAGGCACGAAAGCGUGGGUAGCAAACAGG